rnacentral:rRNA from 1 species
GAAGCGCAAAGCAAACUUAUUCCAUCAAAGACUAUUCCUGACCCUGACAACAAGAAGCCAGAUGACUGGGAUGAGAGAGCUAAAAUCCCUGAUCCAGAUGCCGUGAAGCCUGAUGACUGGGAUGAGAAUGCCCCAAUUGAAAUUGUGGAUGAGAAGGCCACCAAGCCAGAAGGAUGGUUGGAUGAUGAGCCUGAGGAAAUUGAUGAUCCAGAGGCUGCUAGUCCUGAUGACUGGGAUGAUGAGGAGGAUGGCGAAUGGGAGGCACCAAAGAUGGAUAACCCCAAGUGCAAAGAGGCACCUGGAUGUGGUAAAUGGAAGAAGCCAAUGAAGGAUAACCCUGCCUACAAGGGCAAGUGGCAUGCCCCCUUGAUUGACAACCCCAACUACAAGGGAAUCUGGAAGCCCCAAGAAAUCCCCAACCUUGAGUACUACUUUGAGCUUGACAAGCCUGACUUUGAUCCAAUUGCCGCUAUCUGAAUUGAGAUCUGGACAAUGCAUGAUGGCAUCCUGUUUGAGAACAUUCUUAUUGCCGAUGAUGAGAAGGUAGCCACAUCUAUCCUGGAGAAGACAUGGAAGCCAAAGUUUGAUGUUGAGAAGGAAAAGCAGAAGGCUGAGGAGGCUGCAGCAGGUGCAUCAUAAGGGCUUCCAGGUAAUUCAUUCAGGAUCUUCGACAUUUUGUACAAGGUUGCAGACAUCCCGUUGUUGGAACCAUACAGGACCAAGAUCAUUGAUGUGAUUGAGAAGGGAGAGACACAGCCAAACAUUCUAAUUUCGAUUUUGGCCUCAGUUAUUGUCAUCGUUGUGACUGUACUCUUCAGAACCCUUUCAAAACCCUUUUUGGUGGCAAGGAGCAAGUGGUACGUUAUUCUUUCCACACUUGAUAUUACAGUAUUGCCUAAAACCUGA